UGGGGAAUAUUGCACAAUGGGGGAAACCCUGAUGCAGCGACGCCGCGUGAACGAAGAAGGUAUUCGUAUCGUAAAGUUCUGUCCUAUGGGAAGAUAAUGACAGUACCAUAGAAGAAAGCUCCGGCUAAAUACGUGCCAGCAGCCGCGGUAAUACGUAUGGAGCGAGCGUCGUCCGGAAUUAUUGGGCGUAAAGGGUACGCAGGCGGUUUAAUAAGUCGAAUGUUAAAGAUCGGGGCUCAACCCCGUAAAGCAUUGGAAACUGAUAAACUUGAGUAGUGGAGAGGAAAGUGGAAAUCCUAGUGUAGGGGUUAAAUACGUAGAUAUUAGGGGGGAUACCAGUAGGGAAAGCGACUUUCUUGACACGAACUGAAGCUGGAGUACGAAAGGGUGGGGAGCAAACAGG
rnacentral:rRNA from 1 species